UACGUAGGUGGCAAGCGUUGUCCGGAAUUAUUGGGCGUAAAGCGCGCGCAGGCGGCCUCUUAAGUCGGAUGUGAAAGCCCCGGGCUCAACUCGGGAAGUGCAUUCGAAACUGGCAGGCUUGAAUAUGGAAGAGGGUCGCGGAAUUCCCGGUGUAGAGGUGAAAUUCGUAGAUAUCGGGAGGAACACCAGUGGCGAAGGCGGCGACCUGGGCCAAUAUUGAACGGCUGAGGUGGCGGAAAGC
rnacentral:rRNA from 1 species